rnacentral:rRNA from 1 species
AACCUCCGCAAUGUGAGAAAUCGCGACGGGGGGAUCCCAAGUGCCAUUCUUAACGGGAUGGCUUUUCAUUAGUGUAAAGAGCUUUUGGAAUAAGAGCUGGGCAAGACCGGUGCCAGCCGCCGCGGUAACACCGGCAGCUCUAGUGGUAGCAAUUUUUAUUGGGCCUAAAGCGUCCGUAGCCGGUUUAAUAAGUCUCUGGUGAAAUCCUGUAGCUUAACUGUGGGAAUUGCUGGAGAUACUAUUAGACUUGAGAUCGGGAGAGGUUAGAGGUACUCCCAGGGUAGAGGUGAAAUUCUGUAAUCCUGGGAGGACCGCCUGUUGCGAAGGCGUCUAACUGGAACGAUUCUGACGGUGAGGGACGAAAGUUAGGGGCGCGAACCGGAUUAGAUACCCGGGUAGUCCUAACUGUAAACGAUGCGGACUUGGUGUUGGGGUGGCUUUGAGCUGCUCCAGUGCCGAAGGGAGCUGUUAAGUCCGCCGCCUGGGAAGUACGGUCGCAAGACUGAAACUUAAAGGAAUU